rnacentral:rRNA from 1 species
GUGCACCAGUCGAGAAUUUUUCUCAAUGGGGGGAACCCUGAAGGAGCGACGCCGCGUGGAGGAUGAAGGUCUUCGGAUUGUAAACUCCUGUCAUUCGAGAACAAUGUGCAUUUAUUAACUGUAGGUGCAUUGAUAGUAUCGGAAGAGGAAGAGACGGCUAACUCUGUGCCAGCAGCCGCGGUAAUACAGAGGUCUCAAGCGUUGUUCGGAUUCAUUGGGCGUAAAGGGUGCGUAGGUGGUGCUGUAAGUCAGGUGUGAAAUCUCGGGGCUCAACCCCGAAACUGCACUUGAUACUGCAGUGCUUGAGGACUGGAGAGGAGAUUGGAAUUCAUGGUGUAGCAGUGAAAUGCGUAGAUAUCAUGAGGAAGACCAGUGGCGAAGGCGGAUCUCUGGACAGUUCCUGACACUGAGGCACGAAGGCCAGGGGAGCAAACGGGAUUAGAUACCCGCGUAGU